AGUGGCGGACGGGUGAGUAACGCGUGGGUAACCUGCCUCAUACAGGGGGAUAACAGUUAAGAAAUGACUGCUAAUACCGCAUAAGACCACAGCACCGCAUGGUGCGAGGGGUAAAAACUCCGGUGGUAUGAGAUGGACCCGCGUCUGAUUAGGUAGUUGGUGGGGUAACGGCCUACCAAGCCGACGAUCAGUAGCCGACCUGAGAGGGUGACCGGCCACAUUGGGACUGAGACACGGUCCAA
rnacentral:rRNA from 1 species